CGGCGUUUCACCGGCCGCGGCGACGGUGGCACGGCGGUCUGACCUCGCGCGACGGCGCGAGCCCCUCUUAGUCUUCGCAGCUCCCUUGCAUCACACACAACUAGCCGCUCACCUAUUAUUUAGGGAAGGGAACCCAAUCCACAGCGGAAUGUUGCGCGGAAACCAUUCCGAUUCCCAUGCCUCCUCGGCUCCGCUAGUGCACCCGCACAUGCGUCCCGGCAGUGCCGGUGCUCCGGCUGCGACAACGAUUGCGGGGAUCUGGAUUUUCUGCCCAAAAGCUUCGCCCACGAGCCCCCACUAUGCCGCGGCAGCGGCGCUGGAGGGUUCUGUUUGUCGGCUUCUCGACCGUCCCCACCUUCGACCGUUCGACGCUCUCCUUCUCUGCACUGGUUGAGGAGUAAUUCGUUUAGGAUAUGUAGCCCCGGUCAAGGUUCGUAAUUGGAGUUCAAUCUCAAAAACUGCAAUCCAGAUAAGGUAAUAAGAUGGAUGCUCUCUUCGGAUUUUGAAGUGUCAAGGUUCUUUCUACCGCUGAUGAUUUCCAUGACCACAACGCCAAAGCUAUAAACAUCAGCCUUUUCUAUGAUUUGCGAUGUCAACCACUCAGGAGCUAAAUAUCCAGUAAGGUAAUAAGAUGAAUGCUCUCUUCGGAUCUUGAAGUGUCAAGGUUCUUUCUACUGCUGAUGAUUUCCAUAACCACAAUGCCAAAGCUAUACACAUCCGCUUUUUCUGUGAUUUGGGAUGUCAACCACUCGGGAGCUAAAUACCCAGGGACAAUUCAGAUCACUUGCCACUCUAGGCAAGCCGACUACUAUAUAUAUAUAUAUAUAUAUAUAUAUAUAUAUAUAUAUAUAUAUAUUUCAGAGAGCAGCUGGCCAUAUGGUGUAGGAGCAUUGGUUGCUGAUGCUGAAGGUGAUGGUGUACUGUUGCCGACUGGUAGGAGUAGCAAGAUAGGCUGGAGCUGGAGAGUCCUGGAAGAACUCAGCACUUUCAUCUUGUGUUGUGCGUUUUGCAUUGAGCUACUUGGAUUGCAUUUUGGGUAGCAUGCUUCUUGUGGCAGAGAGGAAGCAAAAGAAAAAUCUAAGGAGAUAGAGUAAACAAGCGGUGUACAGCAAACCACGUAGCACACUGGACUAGAGAAAUAGAAGAUGCCACUGGAAACAGUUUGACAAGGCUGGAACUUGCUUGUUCAACUUGUUUACUUGUUUCAUCAUCAAUCAUAGAUACACAAAACUACUUCACAUGCAAAUUGUUGAGUACUACCCCUCCAUUCCAAAUUAUAAGACGUUUAACUUUUUUAA